rnacentral:lncRNA from 1 species
GGGCGAGGAACAGGCGCCCGGGCCCCACGCGGGGAGCCAGCCAGCGCUUUGUGCGACGCUGCUGAAUGGAGCUGGUCUGUGUGCGCGCGGGCUUGCACGGAUUAGUCGUGCUUUCCCAUGAACUACAAAAGAACGCCCGAAUCUGGGACAUUUGUCAUCAAGGGGCAGGCUGCUCAGGAUGCAAGGUGACAGAGCCCUGGGUCCCACUGAAAGCAGAGUGGCAGUGGGCUGGAGGGAGACAGACUGGGGCUAACAGAGCAACCGAGGCGACAAGGACCUGAUACAGUCCAUGCACGGGCAAGAGCCACGCAAGCAACGCCUGGGACUGAAGGUCACGCUGCCUGGCUUUGUGGGGACAGAUGGCCGUCGCUCAUGAUGUUAGCAAGAAGCUUGACGCUGACUUCUGGACAUCAGCUGCUCACUGUGUAUAUUAAGUGAUAAUUUAGCUUCAGGUGGCCUCAGCCCUUGUGCUCUCUGAUCUCCCGCCACCUUAAUAGAAAACAUUUGGACGGCAGUACCUUGCUUCAGGAAAGUGCAGGCACUCCACAAGGAGACAAAAGCAGACUCAUUAAUGCACCUAAGAAUGAUCAUAAUAAACACUAUGGCCUCUGAUCUUUGGGUUCUGUG